rnacentral:rRNA from 1 species
AACGCGAAGAACCUUACCAGGCCUUGACAUGCAGAGAACUUUCCAGAGAUGGAUUGGUGCCUUCGGGAACUCUGACACAGGUGCUGCAUGGCUGUCGUCAGCUCGUGUCGUGAGAUGUUGGGUUAAGUCCGUAACGAGCGCAACCCUUGUCCUUAGUUACCAGCAGUUCGGCUGGGCACUCUAAAGGGACUGCCGGUGUUAAACCGGAGGAAGGUGGGGAUGACGUCAAGUCCUCAUGGCCUUUAUGACCAGGGCUACACACGUACUACAAUGGCCGAUACAAAGGGCAGCGACACUGCGAGGUGAAGCCAAUCCCGUAAAAUCGGUCUCAGUCCGGAUUGGAGUCUGCAACUCGACUCCAUGAAGUUGGAAUCGCUAGUAAUCGUGGAUCAGCAUGCCACGGUGAAUACGUUCCCGGGCCUU